GCGUCUAUUUUUUUGCGACUGAUUAUUUUACUAUCGCAAAAAAUCACUUUUUACGUCAUAAUCCCAUUUUACUUAACCCCCAAAAUCGUGUUCUUAAUUGAAAACAAAAAAAACCCCCAAAUCGUGUUGCCCUAUCCCAUUUCACUCUUAUUUCCUAACUUUCUCUCUCUCUCUCUCUCUCUCUCUCUCAAAAUCUCACAAAUCAUAUUGUUAAUCUCUCAAAUUCUCCUCUCUCUCACUCAACUCUCCACUCUCUCUCGCUCGAAUCUCACUAUCCACUCUCCACUCUUCACUCUCUCUCGCUUAACUCUCACUUUGAUGAAGAUAUGAAGAUUUUGAUCGAUUGUUGAUGAAGAUUUGAAGAUUUCAAUCUACUGUUGAUGAAGAUUUGGAUCGAUUCAUAAUCGUUGAUACAUUCAUGAGGGCUUUACACACUCUUCUUUGUCCUUCCUCCACACUCAGUAGGCCGAAAUUUGAUUUGGAUCAAUUUCUUCUGCCAGCCACUGGCCAGUGCAUAUGGGCUUGCAAAACAUAGAGAUGGUCGGUGGGAAUGGGCAAUUGCUCCUGGUGUCUCACCAUUUCCUAGAUAUCAACAUGCAGC